GACGAACGUUGGCGGCGUGCUUAACACAUGCAAGUCGAACGGAAAGGCCCUGCUUUUGUGGGGUGCUCGAGUGGCGAACGGGUGAGUAACACGUGAGUAACCUGCCCUUGACUUUGGGAUAACUUCAGGAAACUGGGGCUAAUACCGGAUAGGAGCUCCUGCUGCAUGGUGGGGGUUGGAAAGUUUCGGCGGUUGGGGAUGGACUCGCGGCUUAUCAGCUUGUUGGUGGGGUAGUGGCUUACCAAGGCUUUGACGGGUAGCCGGCCUGAGAGGGUGACCGGCCACAUUGGGACUGAGAUACGGCCCAGACUCCUACGGGAGGCAGCAGUGGGGAAUAUUGCACAAUGGGCGGAAGCCUGAUGCAGCAACGCCGCGUGCGGGAUGACGGCCUUCGGGUUGUAAACCGCUUUCGCCUGUGACGAAGCGUGAGUGACGGUAAUGGGUAAAGAAGCACCGGCUAACUACGUGCCAGCAGCCGCGGUGAUACGUAGGGUGCGAGCGUUGUCCGGAUUUAUUGGGCGUAAAGGGCUCGUAGGUGGUUGAUCGCGUCGGAAGUGUAAUCUUGGGGCUUAACCCUGAGCGUGCUUUCGAUACGGGUUGACUUGAGGAAGGUAGGGGAGAAUGGAAUUCCUGGUGGAGCGGUGGAAUGCGCAGAUAUCAGGAGGAACACCAGUGGCGAAGGCGGUUCUCUGGGCCUUUCCUGACGCUGAGGAGCGAAAGCGUGGGGAGCGAACAGGCUUAGAUACCCUGGUAGUCCACGCUGUAAACGGUGGGUACUAGGUGUGGGGUCCAUUCCACGGGUUCCGUGCCGUAGCUAACGCUUUAAGUACCCCGCCUGGGGAGUACGGCCGCAAGGCUAAAACUCAAAGGAAUUGACGGGGCCCCGCACAAGCGGCGGAGCAUGCGGAUUAAUUCGAUGCAACGCGUAGAACCUUACCUGGGUUUGACAUGGAUCGGGAGUGCCCAGAGAUGGGUGUGCCUCUUUUGGGGUCGGUUCACAGGUGGUGCAUGCCUGUCGUCAGCUCGUGUCGUGAGAUGUUGGGUUAAGUCCCGCAACGAGCGCAACCCUUGUUCACUGUUGCCAGCACGUUAUGGUGGGGACUCAGUGGAGACCGCCGGGGUCAACUCGGAGGAAGGUGGGGAUGACGUCAAGUCCUCAUGCCCCUUAUGUCCAGCGCUUCACGCAUGCUACAAUGGCUGGUACAGAGAGUGGCGAGCCUGUGAGGGUGAGCGAAUCUCGGAAAGCCGGUCUCAGUUCGGAUUGGGGUCUGCAACUCGACCUCAUGAAGUCGGAGUCGCUAGUAAUCGCAAAUCAGCAACGCUGCGGUGAAUACGUUCCCGGG
rnacentral:rRNA from 1 species